GUUUAGUGAUGGUGUUUGAAGACCACGAAGCACAUCUAUGGUUAUUCAUUGUUGGGGAAGAAGCUACAUAACUACUGAUUGAGGGAAGAUUGCUUGAAGUAAUUUGUAGGUUCAGACUACAGCAUCUGGAAAUGUUUGCAUCUUGACGUUUAGGAUUUUCCUGAAAGCAGAUUACUUAGUGAUCCUUCAGAAAUUAUCCCUCAAAAAUACCUAGACAUAAAAUACAAAGUACAGGUGUAUUGGGUUGUGACAUAAAUGUUCUAGCUGAGAUGUUCAACUUGUUCCUGGAUUACUGCAUUAGAUGAAUCUGUGUUUGUCUUGAUGCAAGUGUGUGGAGAAGUGUGCUGCCUUUGUUAAAGCUUUAGCAAGAUUUUUCGGAACUUUAUCAUUGGUACCUCUUAUAAGGGACUGUUUUUAUGCUGAUAUUCUCAGGAACUAUUUUGUUCUAGUUACAGACUGUGGGCGGUUAUGAAGCCAGUUUAUAUGCUAUUACUGAUAUAUCUUUUUUCUUA